GGGAUGUUUGAGACCAUGGAGCUGCUGCGCAGCGUCCCCCCCCCGGGGCUGCACGAGGAUCUGCUGGUGCAACAGGUGGGGUGAUAUGGGGUCUAUGGGGCGCUAUGGGGCUCUAUGGGGCUCUAUGGGGUCACUAUGGGGCUCUAUGGGUCUCUAUGGGGUCUCUAUGGGGCGCUAUGGGGCUCUAUGGGGCGAUAUGGGUCACUAUGGGGCUCUAUGGGUCACUAUGGGGCUCUAUGGGGUCUCUAUGGGGUGUUAUUGGGUUGUUAUGGGGCUCUAUGGGGCUAUAUGGGGUCACUAUGGGGCUCUAUGGGGUCUCUAUGGGGUGCUAUGGGGUCACUGUGGGGCACUAUGGGGCUCUAUGGGGUCACUGUGGGGCACUAUGGGGCUCUAUGGGGCGCUAUGGGGUCUCUAUGGGGCUCUAUGGGGUCUCUAUGGGGUUCUGUGGGGUGAUAUGGGGGGAUAUGGGGUCCCUAUGGGGUGAUAUGGGGUCUCUAUGGGGUCCCUAUGGGGUGAUAUGGGGUCUCUAUGGGGUGAUAUGGGGCUAUAUGGGAGAUCUAUGGGGUGAUAUGGGGUCUCUAUGGGGUCUAUGGGGGAUCCAUGGGGUUAUAUGGGGGGAUGUGGGGGGAUCUAUGGGGUCUAUGAGGUGAUAUGGGGUCUCUAUGGGGUCCCUAUGGGGCUCUGUGGGGUGCUAUGGGGCUCUAUGGGGCACUAUGGGGUCCCUAUGGGGUCUAUGGGGUGCUAUGGGGCUCUGUGGGGUGCUAUGGGGCGCUAUGGGAUCUCUAUGAGUCCCUAUGGGUCCCUAUGGGUCCCUAUGGGGUCCCUAUGGGUCUCUAUUGGUUCCCUAUGGGUCCCUAUGGGGUCCCUAUGGGUCUCUAUGGGUCUCUAUGUGUCCCUAUGGGUCCCUAUGGGUCUCUAUGUGUCCCUAGGGGGUCCCUAUGGGUCUCUAUGGGUCCCAAUGGGUCUCUAUGGGUCCCAGUGGGUCUCUAUGGGGUCCCUAUGGGUCCCAAUGGGUCUCUAUGGGUCCCAGUGGGUCUCUAUGGGGUCUCUAUGGGGUCUCUAUGGGUCUCUAUGGGGUCUCUAUGGGGUCUCUAUGGGUCCCAAUGGGUCUCUAUGGGUCCCAGUGGGUCUCUAUGGGGUCUCUAUGGGGUCUCUAUGGGUCUCUAUGGGGUCUCUGUGGGUCUCUAUGGGUCCCUAUGGGUCUCUAUGGGGUCUCUAUGGGUCUCUAUGGGUCCCAGUGGGUCUCUAUGGGUCCCAGUGGGUCUCUAUGGGGUCUCUAUGGGUCCCAAUGGGUCUCUAUGUGUCUCUAUGGGUCCCAGUGGGUCUCUAUGGGGUCUCUAUGGGUCCCAAUGGG
rnacentral:lncRNA from 1 species